rnacentral:rRNA from 1 species
AUUGAACGCUGGCGGCAGGCCUAACACAUGCAAGUCGAACGAGGGGCGGACGGGUGAGUAACACGUGGGAACCUACCCAUAAGAGGGGGAUAACACUUGGAAACUGGUGCUAAUACCGCAUACUGAUGGAUGGACUCGCGGUGCAUUAGCUAGUUGGUGGGGUAACGGCUCACCAAGGCUACGAUGCAUAGCCGACCUGAGAGGGUGAUCGGCCACACUGGGACUGAGACACGGCCCAGACUCCUACGGGAGGCAGCAGUGGGGAAUAUUGCACAAUGGGCGCAAGCCUGAUACAGCCAUGCCGCGUGUAUGAAGAAGGCCUUCGGGUUGUAAAGUACUUUCAGCGAGGAGGCGUUACUCGCAGAAGAAGCACCGACUAACUCCGUGCCAGCAGCCGCGGUAAUUC